CCAAAUAUAUCUAGCUAUACAAGGCAGAAUGCAGAUGAAGAAAAUUAUUCGUGAUCAACCUCAAAGAGAGUCAUUCUCAAGUUUUAAGUCAAGUAUGGCUAUAAAAAAAUUAAUGAUUCAAAAUUAUCUACAAAUAUCACAGAAAAUUGAUUGGAUUGAAGUGAUAUCACCUCUAGAGAUCUCAAAUAGUUACUCAUUUAGAACAGAGUCAAAUGAAGAGUUAUUUAUUGGCACGGAAAGAUCUGAGUUUAUGGGUCGAAAUUGCUGCGAAGAAUUAAGAGCUCUAUCGUUAAAUGUUUAUGACACAGAAGGUAAUGAGGUUUUGGUGAUGAAAAGACCAUUUAACUGUAAUAGAUGUUGCUUCCCAUGCUGCCUUCAACGAAUGGAUGUUUUUGAUCCAUCUGGGAUAUUCAUUGGCUCUGUGAAUCAAGUGUGGACUUUGAUGACACCGAAAUUUAAGAUUUUGGAUCGAAACCACACAUUGAUAUAUGAAAUAAUUGGACCAUGUCUCUUUAGUAGAUACUUUAGGAAUGUAGAUUUUGGUAUUUUCCUCCCAAAUGGAUACUCUGAGAUAUAUUGGCCAUACGAUUCCCUACAGACUCUCCAUUGGAAUAUAGGUUAAUAUUAAUGGCUGCAUUAUUUCUAAUUGACUACAACUAUUAUGAAGGUGACGAGGGUCGGAGAUUAUGCUGGAAAUUUUAACUCUUUAUAAAAUAUAUUGGGAUCAAAAGGAUUCAUUAUUAUACUUUAAUAAUUCAAUUUGAUGGCCUUUUGAAAUAAAAUGGUUGUUUUAAUCUGCAUUCUA
rnacentral:misc_RNA from 1 species